rnacentral:rRNA from 1 species
CAGCCGUAAACUAUGCUCGCUAGGUGUCAGGCAUGGCGCGACCGUGUCUGGUGCCGCAGGGAAGCCGUGAAGCGAGCCACCUGGGAAGUACGGCCGCAAGGCUGAACUAAGGAUUGGCGGGGAGCACAACAACGGGUGGAGCCUGCGGUUUAAUGGACUCAACGCCGGACAACUCACCGGGGACGACAGCAAUAUGUAGGCCAGGCUGAAGACCUUGCCUGAAUCGCUGAGAGGAGGUGCAUGGCGUAGACGUCU